GCGACGUCAUCCUGGGUUCCGUUUUUGAUCGACAAACCGCUGGGCUUCCCUCGAAGUUGACGGUGGCUGAGUGCCUGACAUUGCGAUCAUACCGACUGUUGUUGUCAUCAGAUAGCUGAACGCGGAACCAUCAGCUGAGACCAGACGUCGCCGAGUAGCUAGCUAACGAUUCGAUUCGGCGGACGGAGUUAGGGCAGGUCGAAGAUCUCGAGGCCGUGUCACGUCAGCUGUCAGUGGGAACAGAGAGGUAGUGUUGGAUGUCACCACGGCGCAGUGUCAGGCGGGAUUUGGUUUGCUAGCAUCGUCCAUCCUGGCAAAUCAAAUGGAGAAGCUCCAGGACCUUAGCCAAUCAGAGCUACAGGAUCUCCUGGACAACCGGACAGGGUGGAGUCUAUGGCUCUGGAGUCUGAUGAGAUUCAGAAUAUUCAGUUGGAGAGAGAGAUGGCACUGGCAGCAAAUCGCAGCCUGGCUGAGCAAAACCUGGACAUGAAGCCUCGCCUGGAGUCUCAGAAGGAGGUGCUGGUGGAGAGAUACUCUCAGCUGGAGGCUGUCAGAGAAACCUACAGACAGCACUGCUCCAUGAGAG